AAUAGAUACCCAGGUAGUCCACGCCGUAAACGAUGAAUGCUAGGUGUUAGGGGUUUCGAUACCCUUGGUGCCGAAGUUAACACAUUAAGCAUUCCGCCUGGGGAGUACGGUCGCAAGACUGAAACUCAAAGGAAUUGACGGGGACCCGCACAAGCAGUGGAGUAUGUGGUUUAAUUCGAAGCAACGCGAAGAACCUUACCAGGUCUUGACAUCCCUCUGACCGGUCUAGAGAUAGGCCUUCCCUUCGGGGCAGAGGAGACAGGUGGUGCAUGGUUGUCGUCAGCUCGUGUCGUGAGAUGUUGGGUUAAGUCCCGCAACGAGCGCAACCCUUGAUCUUAGUUGCCCAGCAGGUUGAGCUGGGCACUCUAGGAUGACUGCCGGUGACAAACCGGAGGAAGGUGGGGAUGGACGUCAAAUCAUCAUGCCCCUUAUGACCUGGGCUACACACGUACUACAAUGGCCGAUACAACGGGAAGCGAAGUCGCGAGAUGGAGCCAAUCCUAUCAAAGUCGGUCUCAGUUCGGAUUGCAGG
rnacentral:rRNA from 1 species